UAUGUCCUGCAAGCUUAGGGGUGCUACAAGUUGACCACUGCAGCAGUAAAGAUGACUCUGAAGAAUGGCGUGGGAUGGUUCCUUUCAAAUGCACUUGAGCAGCGGUCUCCAACCACAGGGCCACAGAGCUGGAGGUGGACAGUCUAGUUGCAGGAAAACAAGCUCAGAGAUCCCACUGAGUCUACGUUAUACUGGAUCUACCAUGAAAGACUUGUGAAUCCAGGAAGAGAGACUGACUGGGCAACAUGUUAUUCAGGUGGGAACAUCCAGUUGCGGGAAAACAAGCUUAACACGCCCACUGAUUCUACAUUAUGCUCCUACCUCCCGGCAGCCUCUCCAGGCCCAGAACUUUCUCCAGUCAGCCUCUACAGACCAAGCUCAUGACUCACAAUGGCCUAUUUAGGCCCAUACCCUACGUCACGGCAGCCUCCGCAGAUGAGCCUACUGCCUCACAACAGCCUCCACAGGCACAGCUCCAUCGUUACAAUGGCCUCUUUAGACCCAGCUCCUGCCUCCCAGCCUUCUCUCCAGGCUCUGAACUUUCUCAGCUGAAGCGAUCCUCCCACCUCAA
rnacentral:lncRNA from 1 species